rnacentral:lncRNA from 1 species
GCAUUCCACAAACUCAUAGCAAACCAACAUCUAAAGAAUAGAUGGUUCCUUGAUUCCACAGUAGCUCCACAGAGCACACAUCCCAAACUAAUGUUCCAACCUUUUUUCGCUACAACUUCCCCCUAUAUGCAACUUGUUCUCAGUUGCAAGCAAAGGAAGACUCGCACCUAGUUCCGCAAAAGGGUCUUCCAAAUGAUACCAGAGAACAGACACCUCAAACCGCCACUAUUUAGGAACUUGUAGAAAAAAUUCACAGUGAAAGUACCCAUACUCGAAAGCUUCCAAAUCGGAGUGUCCACUAGACGGGAAGGUCUAAGAGGAGCAAGGAGAUGAUGCAACGCAUUCAGGUGGCGCUCUUGAACUUGCAUCAAAGGUCUUCUGACUUUAAUGCACCAUUCCAUUCUCCCCCAACCCCAAUAAGCCA